CGGGUAGCCGGCCUGAGAGGGUGUCCGGCCACACUGGGACUGAGAUACGGCCCAGACUCCUACGGGAGGCAGCAGUGGGGAAUAUUGCACAAUGGGCGCAAGCCUGAUGCAGCGACGCCGCGUGGGGGAUGACGGCCUUCGGGUUGUAAACCUCUUUCACCAUCGACGAAGGUCCGGGUUCUCUCGGAUUGACGGUAGGUGGAGAAGAAGCACCGGCCAACUACGUGCCAGCAGCCGCGGUAAUACGUAGGGUGCGAGCGUUGUCCGGAAUUACUGGGCGUAAAGAGCUCGUAGGUGGUUUGUCGCGUUGUUCGUGAAAUCUCACGGCUUAACUGUGAGCGUGCGGGCGAUACGGGCAGACUAGAGUACUGCAGGGGAGACUGGAAUUCCUGGUGUAGCGGUGGAAUGCGCAGAUAUCACGAGGAACACCGGUGGCGAAGGCGGGUCUCUGGGCAGUAACUGACGCUGAGGAGCGAAAGCGUGGGGAGCGAACAGGAUUAGAUACCCUGGUAGUCCACGCCGUAAACGGUGGGUACUAGGUGUGGGUUUCCUUCCUUGGGAUCCGUGCCGUAGCUAACGCAUUAAGUACCCCGCCUGGGGAGUACGG
rnacentral:rRNA from 1 species